UUCCCCUUCGGGGGACAGGGUGACAGGUGGUGCAUGGUUGUCGUCAGCUCGUGUCGUGAGAUGUUGGGUUAAGUCCCGCAACGAGCGCAACCCUCGACCUUAGUUGCCAGCAUUCAGUUGGGCACUCUAAGGUGACUGCCGGCUAAAAGUCGGAGGAAGGUGGGGAUGACGUCAAAUCGUCAUGCCCCUUAUGACCUGGGCUACACACGUGCUACAAUGGGCGGUACAAAGGGUCGCGAACCCGCGAGGGGGAGCCAAUCCCAAAAAGCCGCUCUCAGUUCGGAUUGCAGGCUGCAACUCGCCUGCAUGAAGCCGGAAUCGCUAGUAAUCGCGGAUCAGCAUGCCGCGGUGAAUACGUUCCCGGGCCUU
rnacentral:rRNA from 1 species